rnacentral:rRNA from 1 species
UGCAAGUCGAGCGCAGGAAACAAGUAGAUCCCUUCGGGGUGACGCUUGUGGAAUGAGCGGCGGACGGGUGAGUAACACGUGGGCAACCUACCUUGUAGACUGGGAUAACUCCGGGAAACCGGAGCUAAUACGGGAUGAUCAUUUGAAUCGCAUGAUUGAAAUGUAAAAGUGGGGAGUAAUCCUCACACUAUGAGAUGGGCCCGCGGCGCAUUAGCUAGUUGGUAAGGUAAUGGCUUACCAAGGCAACGAUGCGUAGCCGACCUGAGAGGGUGAUCGGCCACACUGGAACUGAGACACGGUCCAGACUCCUACGGGAGGCAGCAGUAGGGAAUCAUCCGCAAUGGGCGAAAGCCUGACGGUGCAACGCCGCGUGAACGAUGAAGGUUUUCGGAUCGUAAAGUUCUGUUAUGAGGGAAGAACAAGUGCCGUUCGAAUAGGGCGGCACCUUGACGGUACCUCACGAGAAAGCCCCGGCUAACUACGUG